GAUGAACGCUGGCGGCGUGCCUAAUACAUGCAAGUCGAGCGAACAGACGAGGGGCUUGCUCCCCUGACGUUAGCGGCGGACGGGUGAGUAACACGUGGAUAACCUACCUAUAAGACUGGGAUAACUUCGGGAAACCGGAGCUAAUACCGGAUAAUAUAUUGAACCGCAUGGUUCAAUAGUGAAAGACGGUUUUGCUGUCACUUAUAGAUGGAUCCGCGCCGCAUUAGCUAGUUGGUAAGGUAACGGCUUACCAAGGCAACGAUGCGUAGCCGACCUGAGAGGGUGAUCGGCCACACUGGAACUGAGACACGGUCCAGACUCCUACGGGAGGCAGCAGUAGGGAAUCUUCCGCAAUGGGCGAAAGCCUGACGGAGCAACGCCGCGUGAGUGAUGAAGGUCUUCGGAUCGUAAAACUCUGUUAUUAGGGAAGAACAAAUGUGUAAGUAACUAUGCACGUCUUGACGGUACCUAAUCAGAAAGCCACGGCUAACUACGUG
rnacentral:rRNA from 1 species